rnacentral:rRNA from 1 species
AUUGAACGCCGGCGGUAGGCCUAACACAUGCAAGUCGAGCGGCUGAAGGGUGCUUGCUCCUGGUUACAGCGGCGGAGGGGUGGGUGGUGGCUAGGAACCUGCCUGUCUGUGGUGGAUUACGUCCGGACACGGGCGCUAAUACCGCAUACGUCCUGAGGGAGUACGUGGGGGAUCAUCGGAUCUUACGCUAUCAGAUGAUCCUAUGUCGGAUUAGCUAGUUGGCGGGGUAAAGGCGUACCAAGGCGACGAUCCGUAGCUGGUCUGAGAGGAUGAUCAGCCACACUGGAACUGAGACACGGUCCAGACUCCUACGGGAGGCAGCAGUGGGGAAUAUUGGACAAUGGGCGCAAGCCUGAUCCAGCCAUACCGCGUGGGUGAAGAAGGCCUUCGGGUUGUAAAGCCCUUUUGUUGGGAAAGAAAAGCAGCAGGUUAAUACCCCGCUGUUCUGACGGUACCCAAAGAAUAAGCACCGGCUAACUUCGUG